rnacentral:rRNA from 1 species
UACGUAGGGGGCAAGCGUUGUCCGGAUUUAUUGGGCGUAAAGAGCGUGUAGGCGGCCAGGUAGGUCAGCUGUGAAAACUCGAGGCUCAACCUCGAGACGCCGGUUGAAACCAUCUGGCUAGAGUCCGGAAGAGGAGAGUGGAAUUCCUGGUGUAGCGGUGAAAUGCGCAGAUAUCAGGAAGAACACCCGUGGCUAAGGCGGCUCUCUAGUACGGUACUGACGCUGAGACGCGAAAGCGUGGGGAGCGGACAGG